GUUAAAAAGCUCGUAGUUGGAUUUCGGUUGAGAACGGCCGGUCCGCCGUUUGGUGUGCACUGGCUGGUUUCAACUUCCUGUAGAGGACGCGCUCUGGCUUCACGGCUGGACGCGGAGUCUACGUGGUUACUUUGAAAAAAUUAGAGUGUUCAAAGCGGGCUUACGCUUGAAUAUUUCAGCAUGGAAUAACAUUAUAGGACUCCUGUCCUAUUUCGUUGGUCUCGGGACGGGAGUAAUGAUUAAGAGGAACAGUUGGGGGCAUUCGUAUUUCAUUGUCAGAGGUGAAAUUCUUGGAUUUAUGAAAGACGAACUUCUGCGAAAGCAUUUGCCAAGGAUGUUUUCAUUAAUCAAGAACGAAAGUUGGGGGCUCGAAGAUGAUUAGAUACCAUCCUAGUCUCAACCAUAAACGAUGCCGACUANGGAUUGCAGGAUGUUAAUUGAUGACUCCUGCAGCACCUUAUGAGAAAUCAAAGUUUUUGGGUUCCGGGGGGAGUAUGGUCGCAAGGCUGAAACUUAAAGGAAUUGACGGAAGGGCACCACCAGGCGUGGAGCCUGCGGCUUAAUUUGACUCAACAC
rnacentral:rRNA from 1 species